CCCCUUGGAUGGUUCUAUUUGGGGAGGAUAAUGGCCGUGGAAAGUCUGCACUGACGAUAGUCAGGAUACGACAUGUCCUUAAAUCCAAAUAGAACGCCUUGACGUUUUCGCACACAGCAAUCACGAUGUCCUUGGCCAUGUGUCCAUCGACUGAUAUAGAGGCCCGGAAAGAACCCAGUUGUCGCAGAACAGAACCGUCCACGGUAGUGAUUCUGUUAUUGAUGGGAGGGUCCAAGGGCAUGGGGAGGCCUGCCUUAUAAUACCUCUGGAUUCCCAUUACAGAUAUCUCUGCUCCUGUAUUGGGAAUGGCAACGACCGAGAUUGGAUGGCCAUUUGUCAUGUGUAAAUCGACCUGAAGAGUCGAAAACGGGGUCCCAAACGAACACAGACGGGUGGUUUUGACUAGACUGAUACUGGCAGACGUCUUGGGGCUACUCCGACAAAGAGAAGAAUAGUGACCGGCACGGCCACAGGAGGAGCAAUUCUUGUCCUUCGCAGGGCAAUCACGCUUUGGAUGACGUGCUUUGCCCGAUGAUUUAGAGUCCGUGUUUCCAUAUUUCCGGUGGGAAUAGUUAGACUUCUUUGUAGCCUGAACAAAUAAGUUUCCCGAGGAAGUAGACUCUGAGCCCAUUAGUUUCGCUCCCUUACGAGCCGUCUCCAAAGACAGAAUGACCUGGCGCGCUGCCUCAAAUGUCUGGGGGUUUUCCCCUAAGAGUUUUGCCCUGUCACGUUCGUUUCGGAUGGCCUGAAUUAGGAUCCCAAUAUACACUUGAAUAAUCCUGGCCUUCCUUCUGACGGAUAUACAAGAGGUCUUUCAUGUCCACAUGACGAUUUCGGAGAUUACGAAGGUGGAGAGUGAUAGCCUGGAUUACUUCCUCCAUUGAUCGUCCAGUGUCUGCUUUAAUGCCAAUGGAGUGUUCUACAAUUCGUAAAAAGCCAGGUGAGCAACAUUGCCAGAAUACCGAGAUUUGUGUUGGUUGAGGACGAGUAGCGAGUGACAUGAGGCGUGCGUAAUUCUCCCAGGUGGGUUUCCAUUUAAGGAAGCCACGGAGGUCGAUGUCUUCACUGAUAGAAUGAGGAAGAUUGACAGUAAGACUUGGAAGUCCACGGCUUGGUGGGACAUCAUCGCCAGAUCCUCCAACAGGAGGUGGAGAAGGGGCGGGUUGUUGAGUCUUAUCAAAAUCUCUCCGGAGUCCAAUCACAUUGGCCUGGAAAAUGCGGAAUUGGUCCUCGUGACCACUCAGGUCAUGUUCAUCGCCGUCCUUAUCAUCCCCCAUGUGGUUGGACAUGACCAGUUCGUCGGCCUUGGAGUAUCUAUCCAGAGCGUCCUCCCACUUCUUCAGGGCGAGUUCCAGUUGUGUGGGGUCCUCGCCCUUCUUGUGGAGGUGAAGAGUGUUCGUUGCCUUUGAUCUGUGGCGUGUAACCGUACCCUUAUAUGCCCGGCGGGACCGGAUCAGUUGGUCGAUAUCCUCACGAGGGUCUGACAUCUCGUCGAACGGCAUGGGGAACACAAAUAGAUGGAGGCGAUAACGGUGAUGGAUGGAUGAUUUGAAAAUAAACGGAUGUUCAAUGCAGUCGUGGAAGGAAGGAGACGAAACCACCAAACAGACUCUCCUAAUCUCACAGAUCUGGGGAUGAUAUUUGAGUGAUGGUUGUUCUUACGACCACUGCGCCAU